rnacentral:misc_RNA from 1 species
GAUGAAGAACGUAGCGAAAUGCGAUACGUAGUGUGAAUUGCAGAAUUCGGUGAAUCAUCGAAUCUUUGAACGCACAUUGCACCUCUCGGUAUUCCGGGAGGUAUGCCUGUUCGAGCGUCAUUUGUACCCUCAAGCUCUGCUUGGUGUUGGGUGUUUGUUCCGCCUCUGUGUGUGAACUCGCCUCAAAACAAUUGGCAGCCGGCGUACUUGUUUCGGAGCGCAGCACAUUUUGCGAUCCAGAUCAACGUACAGCGGCAUCCAAGAAGCCUUAUUUAACGCUCUUGACCUCGGAUCAGGUAGGGAUACCCGCUGAACUUAAGCAUAUAAUAAGCGGAGGA